GGGUUGUGAGGUUAAGCGACUAAGCGUACACGGUGGAUGCCCUGGCAGUCAGAGGCGAUGAAGGACGUGCUAAUCUGCGAAAAGCGUCGGUAAGGUGAUAUGAACCGUUAUAACCGGCGAUGUCCGAAUGGGGAAACCCAGUGUGAUUCGUCACACUAUCGUUAACUGAAUACAUAGGUUAACGAGGCGAACCGGGGGAACUGAAACAUCUAAGUACCCCGAGGAAAAGAAAUCAACCGAGAUUCCCCCAGUAGCGGCGAGCGAACGGGGAGCAGCCCAGAGUCUGAAUCAGCUUGUGUGUUAGUGGAACGGUCUGGAAAGUCCGACGGUACAGGGUGAUAGUCCCGUACACCAAAAUGCACAGGCUGUGAACUCGAAGAGUAGGGCGGGACACGUGGUAUCCUGUCUGAAUAUGGGGGGACCAUCCUCCAAGGCUAAAUACUCCUGACUGACCGAUAGUGAACCAGUACCGUGAGGGAAAGGCGAAAAGAACCCCGGCGAGGGGAGUGAAAAAGAACCUGAAACCGUGUACGUACAAGCAGUGGGAGCACCUUCGGGUGUGACUGCGUACCUUUUGUAUAAUGGGUCAGCGACUUAUAUUCUGUAGCAAGGUUAACCGUAUAGGGGAGCCGCAGGGAAACCGAGUCUUAACUGGGCGUUAAGUUGCAGGGUAUAGACCCGAAACCCGGUGAUCUAGCCAUGGGCAGGUUGAAGGUUGGGUAACACUAACUGGAGGACCGAACCGACUAAUGUUGAAAAAUUAGCGGAUGACUUGUGGCUGGGGGUGAAAGGCCAAUCAAACCGGGAGAUAGCUGGUUCUCCCCGAAAGCUAUUUAGGUAGCGCCUCGUGAACUCAUCUUCGGGGGUAGAGCACUGUUUCGGCUAGGGGGUCAUCCCGACUUACCAACCCGAUGCAAACUACGAAUACCGAAGAAUGUUAUCACGGGAGACACACGGCGGGUGCUAACGUCCGUCGUGAAGAGGGAAACAACCCAGACCGCCAGCUAAGGUCCCAAAGUCAUGGUUAAGUGGGAAACGAUGUGGGAAGGCACAGACAGCCAGGAUGUUGGCUUAGAAGCAGCCAUCAUUUAAAGAAAGCGUAAUAGCUCACUGGUCGAGUCGGCCUGCGCGGAAGAUGUAACGGGGCUAAACCAUGCACCGAAGCUGCGGCAGCGACACUAUGUGUUGUUGGGUAGGGGAGCGUUCUGUAAGCCUGCGAAGGUGACCUGUGAGGGUUGCUGGAGGUAUCAGAAGUGCGAAUGCUGACAUAAGUAACGAUAAAGCGGGUGAAAAGCCCGCUCGCCGGAAGACCAAGGGUUCCUGUCCAACGUUAAUCGGGGCAGGGUGAGUCGACCCCUAAGGCGAGGCCGAAAGGCGUAGUCGAUGGGAAACAGGUUAAUAUUCCUGUACUUGGUGUUACUGCGAAGGGGGGACGGAGAAGGCUAUGUUAGCCGGGCGACGGUUGUCCCGGUUUAAGCAUGUAGGCUGAUUGUCCAGGCAAAUCCGGAUAAUCAAGGCUGAGGUGUGAUGACGAGGCACUACGGUGCUGAAGUAACAAAUGCCCUGCUUCCAGGAAAAGCCUCUAAGCAUCAGGUAACAUCAAAUCGUACCCCAAACCGACACAGGUGGUCAGGUAGAGAAUACCAAGGCGCUUGAGAGAACUCGGGUGAAGGAACUAGGCAAAAUGGUGCCGUAACUUCGGGAGAAGGCACGCUGGUGUGUAGGUGAAGCCCCUGCGGGUGGAGCUGAGACCAGUCGAAGAUACCAGCUGGCUGCAACUGUUUAUUAAAAACACAGCACUGUGCAAACACGAAAGUGGACGUAUACGGUGUGACGCCUGCCCGGUGCCGGAAGGUUAAUUGAUGGGGUUAUCCGUAAGGAGAAGCUCUUGAUCGAAGCCCCGGUAAACGGCGGCCGUAACUAUAACGGUCCUAAGGUAGCGAAAUUCCUUGUCGGGUAAGUUCCGACCUGCACGAAUGGCGUAAUGAUGGCCAGGCUGUCUCCACCCGAGACUCAGUGAAAUUGAACUCGCUGUGAAGAUGCAGUGUACCCGCGGCAAGACGGAAAGACCCCGUGAACCUUUACUAUAGCUUGACACUGAACAUUGAGCCUUGAUGUGUAGGAUAGGUGGGAGGCUUUGAAGCGUGGACGCCAGUCUGCGUGGAGCCAACCUUGAAAUACCACCCUUUAAUGUUUGAUGUUCUAACGUUGGCCCCUUACCGGGGUUGCGGACAGUGUCUGGUGGGUAGUUUGACUGGGGCGGUCUCCUCCCAAAGCGUAACGGAGGAGCACGAAGGUUAGCUAAUCCUGGUCGGACAUCAGGAGGUUAGUGCAAUGGCAUAAGCUAGCUUGACUGCGAGCGUGACGGCGCGAGCAGGUGCGAAAGCAGGUCAUAGUGAUCCGGUGGUUCUGAAUGGAAGGGCCAUCGCUCAACGGAUAAAAGGUACUCCGGGGAUAACAGGCUGAUACCGCCCAAGAGUUCAUAUCGACGGCGGUGUUUGGCACCUCGAUGUCGGCUCAUCACAUCCUGGGGCUGAAGUAGGUCCCAAGGGUAUGGCUGUUCGCCAUUUAAAGUGGUACGCGAGCUGGGUUUAGAACGUCGUGAGACAGUUCGGUCCCUAUCUGCCGUGGGCGCUGGAGAAUUGAGGGGGGCUGCUCCUAGUACGAGAGGACCGGAGUGGACGCAUCACUGGUGUUCGGGUUGUCAUGCCAAUGGCACUGCCCGGUAGCUAAAUGCGGAAGAGAUAAGUGCUGAAAGCAUCUAAGCACGAAACUUGCCCCGAGAUGAGUUCUCCCUGAGACUUUAAGUCUCCUGAAGGAACGUUAAAGACGAUGACGUUGAUAGGCCGGGUGUGUAAGCGCAGCGAUGCGUUGAGCUAACCGGUACUAAUGAACCGUGAGGCUUAACCUUACAACGCCGAAG
rnacentral:rRNA from 1 species